GAUGAAGAACGCAGCGAAAUGCGAUAAGUAGUGUGAAUUGCAGAAUUCAGUGAAUCAUCGAAUCUUUGAACGCACAUUGCGCCCUUUGGUAUUCCAUGGGGCAUGCCUGUUCGAGCGUCAUUUGUACCUUCAAGCUCUGCUUGGUGUUGGGUGUUUGUCUCGCCUCUGCGUGUAGACUCGCCUCAAAACAAUUGGCAGCCGGCGUAUUGAUUUCGGAGCGCAGUACAUCUCGCGCUUUGCACUCAUAACGACGACGUCCAAAAGUACAUUUUUACACUCUUGACCUCGGAUCAGGUAGGGAUACCCGCUGAACUUAAGCAUAUCAAUAAGCGGAGGA
rnacentral:misc_RNA from 1 species